rnacentral:tRNA from 1 species
AGGACAGUAGCUCAAUUGGUAGAGUACUGGUUUCCAAAACCAGGUGUUGCGAGUUCGAGUCUCGCCUGUCCUG